UAGUUAAUAAUAAAGAGAGGUCUGGUUUCGUAACAAUUUUUAGAAAAGAUUUACCAAAUUCAUCAGCGUAAUCUUUCUGCUUUACAUCUGACUACAAUGAUUAUUUUGUAGUAUUGGCAUUUAGCACCAACAAUGGCAAAAAAUUGGCUUGUUUAUUUAAUAAUUUAUGCAUGUAUUUGCUUUUAAUAUAAAAUGUAAAUCAGGAAAAAUUGUAUAUUUGUAUGUUAAUCAAAGAAAUUUUGUUUUUAGAUAAUAUUA